rnacentral:rRNA from 1 species
AACGAACGCUGGCGGCAGGCCUAACACAUGCAAGUCGAGCGCGCCCUUCGGGGUGAGCGGCGGACGGGUGAGUAACGCGUGGGAACGUGCCCUUCUCUGCGGAAUAGCCUCGGGAAACUGAGAGUAAUACCGCAUACGCCCUUUGGGGGAAAGAUUUAUCGGAGAAGGAUCGGCCCGCGUUGGAUUAGGUAGUUGGUGGGGUAAUGGCCCACCAAGCCGACGAUCCAUAGCUGGUUUGAGAGGAUGAUCAGCCACACUGGGACUGAGACACGGCCCAGACUCCUACGGGAGGCAGCAGUGGGGAAUCUUAGACAAUGGGGGCAACCCUGAUGUAGCCAUGCCGCGUGAGUGAUGAAGGCCUUAGGGUUGUAAAGCUCUUUCAGCUGGGAAGAUAAUGACGGUACCAGCAGAAGAAGCCCCGGCUAACUCCGUG